rnacentral:lncRNA from 1 species
UUCUUGUUAGUUCUAAGUGAAUUCCCUCGGUAUGAUAAUUUGUUCAUCAGUUUGUUCCCCGUUUCUUCUCUAGCCUGAGCCUGACACACUAUUCUAGCUAGACAUGGGUGUGGCUCGUAACACCUGAUGACCAAACGGAUCUACGACACCAUCGAAUCUCAAACUUUAACUACCAAAACUAUUGUUUUUCAUCCUCUAGUCCCUUUUAGAAUUACUAAACGUCCUUUUUUGGGCCGAGAUUUCCAGGAACGCUUUCUCGGGGUUUGUGUGCAUGUAUUUCAAACCAUACAGACCUAAAAAUUAGAAGUCAUUCCAUCUUUAUUCCCGUAGAGCCUUCCAGCAGUUCCUAAACCGCUCCAGUCGGAGCAUGUUAUCAUUCUUGUUUGUUCUGAGUGAAUUCCCUCGGUAUGAUAAUUCUAUCAUCAGUUUGUUCCCCGUUUCUUCUCUAGCCUGAGCCUGGCAAACUAUUCNNNNNNNNNNNNNNNNNNNNNNNNNNNNNNNNNNNNNNNNNNNNNNNNNNNNNNNNNNNNNNNNNNNNNNNNNNNNNNNNNNNNNNNNNNNNNNNNNNNNNNNNNNNNNNNNNNNNNNNNNNNNNNNNNNNNNNNNCUAAACCGCUCUAGUCGGAGCACGUUAUCAUUCUUGUUAGUUCUGAGUGAAUUCCCUCGGUAUGAUAAUUCUUUCAUCAGUUUGUUCCCUGUUUCUUCUCUAGCCUGAGCCUGACACACUAUUCUAGCUAGACAUGGGUGUGGCUCGUAACACCUAAUGACCAAACGGAUCGACGGCACCAUCGAAUCUCAAACUUUAACUGCCAAAACUAUUGUUUUUCAUCCUGUUGUCCCAUUUAGAAUUACUAAACGUCCUUUUUUGGGCCGAGAUUUAGAGGAACGCUUUCUCGGGGUUUGUGUGCAAGUAUUUCAAACCAUACGGACCUAAAAAUUAGAAGUCAUUCCAUCUUUAUUCCCCUAGAGCCUUCCAGCAGUUCCUAAACCGCUCAAGUCAGAGCAUGUUAUCAUUCUUGUUAGUUCUGAGUGAAUUCCCUCGGUAUGAUAAUUCUUUCAUCAGUUUGUUCCCUGUUUCUUCUCUAGCCUGAGCCUGACACACUAUUCUAGCUAGACAUGGGUGUGGCUCGUAACACCUGAUGACCAAACGGAUCUACGACACCAUUGAAUCUCAAACUUUAACUACCAAAACUAUUAUUUUUCAUCCUGUAGUCCCUUUUAGAAUUACUAAACGUCCUUUUUUGGGCCGAGAUUUCCAAGAACGCUUUCUCGUGGUUUGUGUGCAAGUAUUUCAAACCAUACAGACCUAAAAAUUAGAAGUCAUUCCAUCUUUAUGCCCGUAGAGCCUUCCAGCAGUUCCUAAACCGCUCCAGUCGGAGCACGUUAUCAUUCUUAUUAGUUCUGAGUGAAUUCCCUCAGUAUGAUAAUUCUUUCAUAAGUUUGUUCCCCAUUUCUUCUCUAGCCUGAGCCUGGCACACUAUUCUAGCUAGACAUGGGUGUGGCUCAUAACACUUGUUGACUAAAUGGAUCGACGGCACCAUCGAAUCUCAAACUUUAACUGCCAAAACUAUUGUUUUUCAUCCUGUAGUCCCAUUUAGAAUUAUUAAACGUCCUUUUUUGGGCCGAUAUUUAGAGUAAUGCUUUCUCGGGGUUUGUCUGCAAGUAUUUCAAACCAUACGGACCUAAAAAUUAGAAGUCAUUCCAUCUUUAUUCCCCUAGAGCCUUCCAGCAGUUCCUAAACCGCUCUAGUCGGAGCACGUUAUCAUUCUUGUUAGUUCUGAGUGAAUUCCCUCAGUAUGAUAAUUCUUUCAUCUGUUUGUUCCCCGUUUCUUCUCUAGCCUGAGCCUGACACACUAUUCAAGCUAGACAUGGAUGUGGCUCGUAACACCUGAUGACCAAACGGAUCUACGGCACCAUCGAAUCCCAAACUUUAACUGCCAAAACUAUUGUUUUUCAUCCUGUAGUCCCUUUUAGAAUUACUAAACGUCCUUUUUUGGGCCGAGAUUUCCAGGAAUGCUUUCUCGGGGUUUGUGUGCAAGUAUUUCAAACCAUACAAAGCUAGAAAUUAGAAGUCAUUCCAUCUUUAUUAUCGUAGAGCCUUCCAGCAGUUCCUAAACCGGUCUAGUCGGAGCACGUUAUCAUUCUAGUUAGUUCUGAGUGAAUUCCCUCGGUAUGAUAAUUCUUUCAUCAGUUUGUUCCCCGUUUCUUCUCUAGCCUGAGCCUGACAAACUAUUCUAGCUAGACAUGCGUGUGGCUCGUAACACCUGAUGACCAAACGGAUCUAUAGCACCAUCGAAUCUCAAACUUUAACUGCCAAAACUAUUGUUUUCAUCCUGUAGUCCCUUUUAGAAUUACUAAACUUCCUUUUUUGGGCCGAGAUUUAGAGGAACGCUUUCUGGGGUUUGUGUGCAAGUAUUUCAAACCAUACAGACCUAAAAAUUAGAAGUCAUUCCAUCUUUAUUCCCCUAGAGCCUUCCAGCAGUUCCUAAACCGCUCUAGUCGGAGCACGUUAUCAUUAUUGUUAGUUCUGAGUGAAUUCCCUCGGUAUGAUAAUUCUUUCAUCAGUUUGUUCCCUGUUUCUUCUCUAUCCUGAGCCUGACACACUAUUCUAGCUAGACAUGGGUGUGGCUCGUAACACCUGAUGACUAAAUGGAUCGACGGCACCAUCGAAUCUCAAACUUUAACUGCCAAAACUAUUGUUUUUCAUCCUGUAGUCCCAUUUAGAAUUAGUAAACGUCCUUUUUUGGGCCGAGAUUUAGAGGAACGCUUUCUCGGGGUUUGUGUGCAAGUAUUUCAAACCAUACGGACCUAAAAAUUAGAAGUCAUUCCAUCUUUAUUCCCCUAGUCAUCAGGUAUACACUCAAGUCGGAGCACGUUAUCAUUCUUGUUAGUUCUGAGUGAAUUCCCUCGGUAUGAUAAUUCUUUCAUAAAUUUGUUCCCCGUUUCUUAUAUGGCCUGAGCCUGACACACUAUUCUAGCUAGACAUGGGUGUGGCUCGUAACACCUGAUGACCAAACGGAUCUACGGCACCAUCAAAUCUCAAACUUUAACUGCCAAAACUAUUCUUUUUCAUUCUGUAGUCCCUUCUAGAAUUACUAAACGUCCUUUUUUGGGCCGAGAUUUCCAGGAACGCUUUCUCGGGGUUUGUGUGCAUGUAUUUCAAACCAUACAGACCUAAAAAUUAUAAGUCAUUCCAUCUUUAUUCCCGUAGAGCCUUCCAGUAGUUCCUAAACCGCUCCAGUCGGAGCAUGUUAUCAUUCUUGUUAGUUCUAAGUGAAUUCCCUCGGUAUGAUAAUUCUUUCAUCAGUUUGUUCCCCGUUUCUUCUCUAGCCUGAGCCUGGCACACUAGUCUAGCUAGACAUGGGUGUGGCUCGUAACACCCGAUGACUAAAUGGAUCGACGGCACCAUCGAAUCUCAAACUUUAACUGCCAAAACUAUUGUUUUUCAUCCUGUAGUCCCAUUUAGAAUUACUAAACGUCCUUUUUUGGGCCGAGAUUUAGAGGAACGCUUUCUCGUGGUUUGUGUGCAAGAAUUUCAAACCAUACGGACCUAAAAAUUAGAAGUCAUUCCAUCUUUAUUCCCCUAGAGCCUUCCAGUAGUUCCUAAACCGCUCUAGUCGGAGCACGUUAUCAUUCUUGUUAGUUCUGAGAGAAUUCCCUCGGUAUGAUAAUUCUUUUAUCAGUUUGUUCCCCGUUUCUUCUCUAGCCUGAGCCCGACACACUAUUCUAGCUAGACAUGGGUGUGGCUCGUAACACCUGAUGACCAAACGGAUCUACGGCACCAUCGAAUCUCAAACUUUAACUGCCAAAACUAUUGUUUUUCAUCCUGUAGUCCCUUUUAGAAUUACUAAAUGUCCUUUUUUGGGCCGAGAUUUCCAGGAACGCUUUCUCAGGGUUUGUGUGCAAGUAAUUCAAACCAUACGGACCUAAAAAUUAGAAGUCAUUCCAUCUUUAUUCCCCUAGAGCCUUCCAGCAGUUCCUAAACCGCUCAAGUCAGUGCACGUUAUCAUUCUUGUUAGUUCUAAGUGAAUUCCCUCGGUAUGAUAAUUUGUUCAUCAGUUUGUUCCCCGUUUCUUCUCUAGCCUGAGCCUGACACACUAUUCUAGCUAGACAUGGGUGUGGCUCGUAACACCUGAUGACCAAACGGAUCUACGACACCAUCGAAUCUCAAACUUUAACUACCAAAACUAUUGUUUUUCAUCCUCUAGUCCCUUUUAGAAUUACUAAACGUCCUUUUUUGGGCCGAGAUUUCCAGGAACGCUUUCUCGGGGUUUGUGUGCAUGUAUUUCAAACCAUACAGACCUAAAAAUUAGAAGUCAUUCCAUCUUUAUUCCCGUAGAGCCUUCCAGCAGUUCCUAAACCGCUCCAGUCGGAGCAUGUUAUCAUUCUUGUUUGUUCUGAGUGAAUUCCCUCGGUAUGAUAAUUCUAUCAUCAGUUUGUUCCCCGUUUCUUCUCUAGCCUGAGCCUGGCAAACUAUUCUAGCUAGACAUGGGUGUGGCUCGUAACACCUGAUGACCAAACGGAUCUACGACACCAUCGAAUCUCAAACUUUAACUACCAAAACUAUUGUUUUUCAUUCUAUAGUCCCUUCUAGAAUUUCUAAACGUCCUUUUUUGGGCCGAGAUUUCCAGGAAUGCUUUCUCGGGGUUUGUGUGCAAGUAUUUCAAAUCAUACGGACCUAAAAAUUAGAAGUCAUUCCAUCUUUAUUCCCCUAGAGCCUUCCAGUAGUUCCUAAACCGCUCCAGUCGGAGCACGUUAUCAUUCUUGUUAGUUCAUAGUGAAUUCCCUCGGUAUGAUAAUUCUUUCAUCAGUUUGUUCCCCGUUUCUUCUCUAGCCUGAGCCUGGCACAGUAUUCUAGCUAGACAUGGGUGUGGUCGUAACACCUGAUGACUAAAUGGAUCGACGGCACCAUCGAAUCUCAAACUUUAACUGCCAAAACUAUUGUUUUUCAUCCUGUAAUCCCAUUUAGAAUUACUAAACGUCCUUUUUUGGGCCGAGAUUUAGAGGAACGCUUUGUUGGGGUUUGUGUGCAAGUAUUUCAAACCAUACGGACCUAAAAAUUAGAACUCAUUCCAUAUUUAUUCCCCUUGAGCCUUCCAGCAGUUCCUAAACCGCUCUAGUCGGAGCACGUUAUCAUUCUUGUUAGUUCUAAGAGAAUUCCCUCGGUAUGAUAAUUCUUUUAUCAGUUUGUUCCCCGUUUCUUCUCUAGACUGGGCCCGACACACUAUUCUAGCUAGACAUGGGUGUGGCUCGUAACACCUGAUGACCAAACGGAUCUACGGCACCAUCGAAUCUCAAACUUCAACUGCCAAAACUAUUGUUUUUCAUCCUGUAGUCCCUUUUAGAAUUACUAAACGUCCUUUUUUGGGCCGAGAUUUCCAGGAACGCUUUCUCGGGGUUUGUGUGCAAGUAUUUCAAACCAUACGGACCUAAAAAUUAGAAGUCAUUCCAUCUUUAUUCCCGUAGAGCCAUCCAGCAGUUCCUAAACCGCUCCAGUCGGAGCACGUUAUCAUUCUUGUUAGUUCUGAGUGAAUUCCCUCGGUAUGAUAAUUCUUUCAUCAGUUUGUUCCCCGUUUCUUCUCUAGCCUGAGCCUGACAAACUAUUAUAGCUAGACAUGGGUGUGGCUCGUAACACCUGAUGACCAAACGGAUCUAUGGCACCAUCGAAUCUCAAACUUUAACUGCCAAAACUAUUGUUUUUCAUCCUGUAGUCCCUUUUAGAAUUACUAAACGCCCUUCUUUGGGACGAGAUUUCCAGGAACGCUUUCUCGGGGUUUGUGUGAAAGUAAUUCAAACCAUACGGACCUAAAAAUUAGAAGUCAUUCCAUCUUUAUUCCCGUGGAGCCUUCCAGUAGUUCCUAAACCGCUCCAGUCGGAGCACGUUAUCAUUCUUGUUAGUUCUGAGUGAAUUCCCUCGGUAUGAUAAUUCUUUCAUCAGUUUGUUCCCUGUUUCUUCUCUAGCCUGAGCCUGGCACACUAUUCUAGCUAGACAUGGGUGUGGCUCGUAACACCUGAUGACUAAACUGAUCAAUGACACCAUCGAAUCUCAAACUUUAACUGCCAAAACUAUUGUUUUUCAUCCUGUAGUCCCAUUUAGAAUUACUAAACGUCCUUUUUUGGGCCGAGAUUUCCAGGAACGCUUACUCGGGGUUUGUGUGCAAGUAUUUCAAACCAUACUGACCUAAAAAUUAGAAGUCAAUCCAUCUUUAUUCCCCUAGAGCCUUCCAGCAGUUCCUAAACCGCUCCAGUCGGAGCACGUUAUCAUUCUUGUUAGUUCUGAGUGAAUUCCCUCGGUAUGAUAAUUCUUUCAUCAGUUUGUUCCUUGUUUCUUCUCUAGCCUGAACCUGACACACUAUUCUAGCUAGACAUGGGUGUGGCUCGUAACACCUGAUGACCAAACGGAUCUACGGCACCAUCGAAUCUCAAACUUUAACUGCCAAAACUAUUAUUUUUAAUCCUCUAGUCCCAUUUAGAAUUACUAAACGUCCUUUUUUGGGCCGAGAUUUAGAGGAACGCUUUCAUGCGGUUUGUGUGCAAGUAUUUCAAACCAUACGGACCUAAAAAUUAGAAGUCAUUCCAUCUUUAUUCCCCUAGAGCCUUCCAGCAGUUCCUAAACCGCUCCAGUCGGAGCAUGUUAUCAUUCUUGUUAGUUCUGAGUGAAUUCCCUCGGUAUGAUAAUUCUUUCAUCAGUUUGUGGCCCGUUUCUUCUCUAGCCUGAGCCUGACACACUAUUCUAGCUAGACGUGGGUGUGGCUCGUAACACCUGAUGACCAAACGGAUCUACGGCACCAUCGAAUCUCAAACUUUAAGUGCCAAAACUAUUAUUUUUAAUCCUGUAGUCCCAUUUAGAAUUACAAAAAUGUCCUUUUUUGGGCUGAGAUUUCCAGGAACGCUUUCGUGCGGUUUGUGUGCAAGUAUUUCAAACCAUACAGACCAAAAAAUUAGAAGUCAUUCCAUCUUUAUUCC